rnacentral:rRNA from 1 species
UACGAGAGGCGCAAACGUUAUUCGGAUUUACUGGGCUUAAAGAGUUCGUAGGCGGCGCAGAAAGUAGGGAGUGAAAGCCCUCGGCUCAACCGAGGAAUUGCGCUCUAAACUACUGUGCUUGAGGAAGCUAGAGGUGAGCGGAACUGAUGGUGGAGCGGUGAAAUGCGUUGAUAUCAUCAGGAACACCGGAGGCGAAGGCGGCUCACUGGGGCUUAUCUGACGCUGAGGAACGAAAGCCAGGGGAGCGAACGGG